GGGCGAUUAGUUUAGUGGUAGAACAGCGGUCUCCAAAACCGCUGGCGGGGGUUCGAUUCCCUCAUCGCCCG
rfam:Parcubacteria (Nomurabacteria) bacterium GW2011_GWB1_40_7 TT13_C0003, whole genome shotgun sequence.